AUCUCAGAUGGUAAAGAAUCUGCCUGCAAUGCAGAAGACCCAGGUUCAAUCCCUGG
rnacentral:tRNA from 1 species